rnacentral:lncRNA from 7 species
UAGAAUUGCUUCAAUGUUGUUGAUGUGUUGUAUUGCUUGAGCCUCAUGACCUAUUUACAUAUGAGUACAUCAUUUAGGGGGCAUGUACUCUAAUAGAGUAACAUGCAUGGUAGUUGGUAGGUCUGUAGGUGCAUAGGGCAAUAGGUAGCUGCUAUGCAUCUUAUUGGGGGUUUUGGUGCUUUUCUUUUUGUGCUGAUGUCCUAUAAAAUGGUAUUUUGUGUAAAUGCAUAUUCAAUCCCCAUCUGGACAUUUC